rnacentral:rRNA from 1 species
CUACGGGUCGCACCAGUGAGGAAUAUUGGUCAAUGGACGAAAGUCUGAACCAGCCAUGCCGCGUGCAGGAUGAAUGCCCUAUGGGUUGUAAACUGCUUUUAUAUAGGAAUAAACCCCCGCUCGUGAGCGGGGCUGAAGGUACUAUAAGAAUAAGGACCGGCUAACUCCGUGCCAGCAGCCGCGGUAAUACGGAGGGUCCAAGCGUUAUCCGGAUUCAUUGGGUUUAAAGGGUCCGCAGGCGGGAAAUUAAGUCAGUGGUGAAAGCCUACAGCUUAACUGUAGAACUGCCAUUGAUACUGAUUUUCUUGAGUAUAGAUGAAGUGGGCGGAAUGUGUCAUGUAGCGGUGAAAUGCAUAGAUAUGACACAGAACACCGAUUGCGAAGGCAGCUCACUAAACUAUUACUGACGCUCAUGGACGAAAGCGUGGGGAGCGAACAGGAUUAGAUACCCCCGUAGUC